GACGAACGCUGGCGGCGCGCCUAACACAUGCAAGUCGAACGGAGCUGAGAGAAGCUUGCUUUUCUUAGCUUAGUGGCGAACGGGUGAGUAACGCGUGAGUAACCUGCCCUGGAGUGGGGGACAACAGUUGGAAACGACUGCUAAUACCGCAUAAGCCCACGAUCCGGCAUCGGAUUGAGGGAAAAGGAUUUAUUCGCUUCAGGAUGGACUCGCGUCCAAUUAGCUAGUUGGUGAGGUAACGGCCCACCAAGGCGGCGAUUGGUAGCCGGACUGAGAGGUUGAACGGCCACAUUGGGACUGAGACACGGCCCAGACUCCUACGGGAGGCAGCAGUGGGGGAUAUUGCACAAUGGGGGAAAACCUGAUGCAGCGACGCCGCGUGGAGGAAGAAGGUUUUCGGAUUGUAAACUCCUGUCGUUAGGGACGAUAAUGACGGUACCUAACAAGAAAGCACCGGCUAACUACGUG
rnacentral:rRNA from 1 species